AUAGGCCACAGGGGUCAACAAAGCGAGGCCUGAGUGCGAUAUUUUGUUUAACCAGGGCUGAUGAUGCUCUCGGGAAAGUUGGAUAGAUGUCGUGAAUGUGGCUGGUGUCGUGGUGACGUGAGAAACACGUGAUGCAGACGGCGUGAUCAGCAACGUUUCAGCUGCGGGAGAGGAAGAAGUGUUAUUGAGCAACAAGACCGAGACUAAAAAUCAGCAGAAAUGUCAUGAGAUCAGAUCUCCUCACCAGCACUCAUCAUUUGGCUGCUCGUGAUGGCAGAUGUCCUGUAGGAAGCGCAGUUGGAAGGAACCUUUCCUGAUCUUUCCCUCCUCACUCUCCCUCAGUGAGAAGUUUAGACGCCGGAGUGUUGCUUAAAGCGGCGCUGAUUCACGAACUGAGGAAAUCCGAUCUGAUCCGAUCUGAUACGUGGAUAACGCGACUCUCUUUUCAUUUCUUAUCACUGAGAUGACUGACAGGACGAUUAGAGACGCCAGCAGGAAACACACAACCCCCCAGGAGGAGGAGGAGGAGGAGGAGGAGGUCCAUCAUCGAGAGGCCUGGACUAAAAAAACUCAGCAUUUUGUAGAGAUAAGAAGAGGGUCCACAGAGACGGUGUGUUCACAGGGUGCAGAAAUUUAUAGAAAACCCCUGCAGAGAAGGUUUACUCAGGAAUAAUGCAACAUGCAGCGUGACGUGGGACUGAAACAAAAUGGCCGCCGUUCAGUUUUACUGAAAUUACAGCUGAAAGAUGUAACCCUCAAGUCCGCCUUCACGAACCUGAGGUCGACCCCUUCUGGCCGCUGCUCUUCUGGCCGUUACCAUGGUAACGUCCUACACCAUACACGCAAAAAACCACCCACUCACAACUUAUUGUUCCUUUCUGAACAAUGCAUAUUCAUAACCGUGACAGGACAGAAAAACCCUUUUUUUCAGCUCUUUUAUCGAAAAAUGCGAAUCCAUGUGACACUGUUACGGGAACCGGCUGUGACCUCUCAUCUGUCUCACACACACACACACACACACACACACACUGAAUUAGAUAGGAUUGAAUGUGAUUUAUGAGUGUACAUGAUGUUGUGACUUGUGGUGUAGAAAAGAAGUCAAACACAAGCUGUGACCGUAAAUAUUUUAUUAAAAAACACACACACACACACUAAUUUGCAUUUUUUGCCAAAAUAUUAAUAAAUUCAUCAAAGGAAGUGCGAGUAAAUGAGGGGUAUAGAGCUCGAGGCCGGAUCGGCCUCCCACACAUGAAGAGGACUCGCCUACGAGCAGU